GGAAGGUCUGGUGUCUCACUUUUUCUGAUGCCACCCGAGUCUUAGUUUCUCUCUCUGGACUUCCGUGAAUUUGUACGUCUAUGCCUCCCUCCGGAAGUGUCUCUUUCCCUUGGUCUCUGUUCCUCUCCUUGUAUUUCUGGCGCAUUCAUUCCCUGUUUCUCUGGGUGGAUCAGGGUUCCUUUCCUUGUCUCUGAAAAUUUCUGUUUUUAUUUCUCUGUUUUCUUCACUGUGUGUCUCCAUUUAUGUCUGUCACUCAUCCUGUGACCCUCUCUGGGUCUUUGUAUCUGUCUCACUGUGAAUCAGUCUCCCUCUGUCUCUUCCUGUCCAUAAAUUCUUGCACUUCUGUCUCCCUGAAUCUCUUCCUCUCCCUGUCUCUCUGGCUCUGUGGAUCUGUCUCUCCGCCACCAACACCCCAUGUCUUUCUCUUUGAGAGUCAAUGUCUCUUUCUCUGUCUGUCCUCUUCUAUUUCCCUCUAUUUCUCUCUCCCCAUCCCUUUCCCUCCGUGUCCAUGUCUUUGUAGAUGCUUUUGUCUCUGUCUCUACGAAUCUCUGUUCGUGCUUGCCUCUUCCUCCUUCGGUAUGUCUCUGUGCCUGUCCCUCUCUCUAGCCCACUCUCUGGUUCUGUCAGUCUCUCUCUCUCUGUCGCUGGGGGUCUCUCUCCCUCUCCUCCACCCCCUCCCCCCUUGUCCCUUUCUCACCCACUUUAUUUGUCUCCCUGGCUCUAUGAAUCUCUCUCAUCUCUGGGGGCCUCUCCCUCCCUCCACGUCCCUCUGUGAUUCAGUCCCAGUCUCCUGCUGGCUCUGUACUACUCUGCGUCUCCGUCAGGGGGUUGGGAGGGUCUGUCUGAUUGUUGGCCCCGUCGGUCUCCUCCCGUCUCCCCCCUCUGUGCCUCCACCAGCGUCCCUUCCCUCUCUGGUCGCGCUUCGUCCCUCCCCCAGCUCCCGAGAGCUUCCUAGUCCGGGCUCCGAGGAGAACCGCUUUGUUGCCAAGGGCAACCACGGCCCACCCGGGGCUGCAGGGUGCCGUGCAUUCUGGGACUUGUAGUCUAGGUCCGCGGACUGGCCGUUCUCCAAACGCGGCCAAGAACUUCCUCUCCCGGCAUGCUUCGCGAAGCGGGGCGGGGCGCUGCCGCAGCGCCUGGGUACGCCGGAC
rnacentral:lncRNA from 1 species